AGUGAACGCUGGCGGUAGGCCUAACACAUGCAAGUCGAACGGCAGCACAGUAAGAGCUUGCUCUUACGGGUGGCGAGUGGCGGACGGGUGAGGAAUACAUCGGAAUCUACUUUUUCGUGGGGGAUAACGUAGGGAAACUUACGCUAAUACCGCAUACGACCUACGGGUGAAAGCAGGGGAUCUUCGGACCUUGCGCGAUUGAAUGAGCCGAUGUCGGAUUAGCUAGUUGGCGGGGUAAAUGCCCACCAAGGCGACGAUCCGUAGCUGGUCUGAGAGGAUGAUCAGCCACACUGGAACUGAGACACGGUCCAGACUCCUACGGGAGGCAGCAAUGGGGAAUAUUGGACAAUGGGCGCAAGCCUGAUCCAGCCAUACCGCGUGGGUGAAGAAGGCCUUCGGGUUGUAAAGCCCUUUUGUUGGGAAAGAAAAGCAGCAGGUUAAUACCCCGCUGUUCUGACGGUACCCAAAGAAUAAGCACCGGCUAACUUCGUG
rnacentral:rRNA from 1 species